GGCACUGUGGCAGAGUGGUCUAAUGCGUUAGCCUUGAAAGCUAAUCUCUUCGGAGGCCAGGGUUCGAACCCCUGCGGUGUCG